CGUUACGGCCGUUCGCCUCAGUGUUAAUGCACCCGAUCCCACGAACUCGGAAGUGCAGCUGAGGGCCCGAUUUAGUACUGGCUUGACGCAUCGUCAGUCAGGAACCCUCGGGUGCUGUAGCGC
rnacentral:rRNA from 1 species